UCCGGGGUAGCUCAAUUGGCGGAGCAGGUCCCUGUUAAGGACACGGCUGAGAGUUCGAGUCUCUCCCCCGGAGCCA
rnacentral:tRNA from 1 species